ensembl:lncRNA
CUUUGUACUCGCAGGAGCUGAGCAUCUGCUCAUUUGCGCCUCGGCUGUGAAGGAGGGACUGUUUGAUUCCGUGCAGAUAAACCGAAGUGGAAAGUUGUAAAUCAGUCAGGUUCAGGCUCGAGGUGCUUCUCACAGGAGUUAAAUGAACAGUCGGUUUGGUGUAAUCUGCUGACAGUCCAGACACAAAGACGGCUAUUCCCUCCCAGGCCUUUCCAGUUAAGAGAAUAUAAAGGAUCGGACGGCACCUGAGAACACCACCACAGGAACUCGGACUCAUCGCGGCCUCAUUCAGUCACUUGGUUUAAAUUCAAGUUGAUGCAGAGCUGAGGAGGUUCAGGACAAACCACUGGCUUCUACACUCCCCAGCGCUCUGAGCUUCAUACCAGAGGACAAUCAGCCAUCGGGGAAAACAAACGUUUAGGCCAUUUUAAAAAUGUCAGACAGCUGUCGUCUGCGGCUGACAAUGAAGAGGAGCUCAG